AGUAGAACUGCAAACAUGGCGUCUGUCUUGUGUUGCCAUCAUAGCAACAUCUUCUUGAGACCCAAGUCGUGUGUUACAUCUCCCGUGAAGUCUACUGGCACCUCCGACUAUGAAAAACCCUGCACGAAAACACAACAAACAGACGAGUGCUUCUGCAAUCAUUGGCGUAUAAUGUGUACAGUAUUGGAGAGAUGACGGAUCCUCGUGGGGCUCCUGUAGAGAUGGUAAGUGAUGUGCUGAGAAGGCCAAUGACCCUGACCCUUUGAUGUCUUCCUGUUAAAAAUGAU